rnacentral:misc_RNA from 1 species
GUAGGUGAACCUGCGGAAGGAUCAUUACCGAGUAUGCCCUUUAGGGCGGACCUCCCACCCUCUGUAUACUGACCUCUGUUGCUUUGGCGGGCCGCUUAGCUACCGGCUUCGGCUGGUAAGUGCCCGCCAGAGGAAACUUAAACCCUAACAAUUUUGGUGUUUUGUCUGAAAAAAAAUUAAAUAUUAAAACUUUCAACAACGGAUCUCUUGGCUCUGGCAUCGAUGAAGAACGCAGCAUCUGACUGACUAA